rnacentral:lncRNA from 1 species
GGGUGGGUAACCCCGUUCCCUCUUUCUUCAGGUGACUUCAGUAUAGGUUUAUCUUGUAGGAUCAGGCUUUGGGUUAGAUUUUGUUCAAAGGUGUGUGCAAGCCAGCUUGCUUUUUUAAAACUACUUUUCUUUCCACUACUUAAAUACAAAUAGUAGUCUUCUACAAAAUAUAAUACAAAACAACUAUCUUAUGAAUAAUAAAUAUUUAAAUGCUAUAAAUAGCCUAAAUAUUUAAAAAUAGAGUUAAAGGUUGCACUUUGAGUCUUAGAAAAUAGCCAUUUAGUUGACCAGAUGAACUGUUUUCACAUUCAAUGUCUUUUUUAUUUCCUGAGUUUUCUGA